rnacentral:rRNA from 1 species
CCUACGGGAGGCAGCAGUGGGGAAUAUUGCACAAUGGGGGAAACCCUGAUGCAGCGACGCCGCGUGAGUGAGGAAGUACUUCGGUUUGUAAAGCUCUAUCAGCAGGGAAGAAAAUGACGGUACCUGACUAAGAAGCCCCGGCUAACUACGUGCCAGCAGCCGCGGUAAUACGUAGGGGGCAAGCGUUAUCCGGAUUUACUGGGUGUAAAGGGAGCGUAGACGGAAUUGCAAGUCUGAUGUGAAAAUCCGGGGCUCAACCCCGGAACUGCAUUUGAAACUGUAUAUCUAGAGUGUCGGAGAGGCGAGUGGAAUUCCUGGUGUAGCGGUGAAAUGCGGAGAGAUCAGGAGGAACACCAGUGGCGAAGGCGGCUUGCUGGACGAUGACUGACGUUGAGGCUCGAAAGCGUGGGGAGCAAACAGGAUUAGAUACCCGAGUAGUC